rnacentral:lncRNA from 1 species
GUCUGGGUUUAUUUUUUUCUAUAGUAAUUUCAGAUUAUCCAUCAUUCACUGUAAUAAGAUACCAUUUCAGUGGUGGAGUUGCAUAGUCUUUUAUUUUUCUAAAGAUGACCAUUCCAUGUUUAAUGUCUUCAGAGAAGAUCUAAAAAUCAAAGUUAACAACCCAUUUGUCCCAACUCUAACUCUUCCUGGGAACAAUUCCUCAUUCUGUUACUUGAUUUCUUCCUUUACCACCCACAUAAAAUAUGUCUUACUGCUCACAAGAUCAAAAGAAAACAGAACAAAACAUUGAAACAUCAGAAUUGUUUAAAACACUAGAUUUCAUUCAAUGGUCCGAUUGGACACUUGCUCAUUGGAACUUAUUUCUGCUUCAGCUCUAGUUCUUUGAGAAACACAAGAAUUCCUUUCACCAAAAUAUUAGCCUGACACAAGAAUGUUGAAAGGUUAGCUGCCUUAGCUUUAUUGCUGCCUAUAAUCUCCAAAGAUAUCUGAACACCUAGAAGAUUAAAUGUAGCAAGAAGUGGAAGAGAAACACAGUUUAUAAGUCAUUUAAUAACUAUAAUUGCAUAGAAUUUACUCACUUUUCAAAUACUUAUUCUGAAUGAAUACCAAAUUUGUGAAACAAAAUAUAUCCUAUGGUGCUUAGAAUGGUUGUUAAAUGGUGAGUUAGUUUUCCAAGUAAAAACUUUACGUGCAUUAACAGAGGGGAAUGCAUAAUAAUCCUAUGAGGUAGGCCCUAUUAUCCUCAUUGAAUAGAAGAGAAAAGGAGGCUCAAAAAAAUUAAGUAACCCACAAAAAGUCACACAGCUGUGACUGUCAGUGUCCUGCUGGGCACUGCAAACUAGGCCACUUUUAAAGUAAGAUCAUUUUAAAUUGAGUACUCUUACUUACAAAAUGAACACAUUAAUGUGAUAAUUGACAAAAUAUUUCAGAUGCUGGACUUAUAGAAAGUUUAAGGAAAACCAAGAUUAAGGAUUCCAGAUUCAGGUAACUCUCUUUAUCUUUUUUUUAGACAGGGGUCUCACUUUGUCAGCCAGUACAGUGGCGUGAUCUCAGUUCACUGCAACCUCUGCUUCCCAGGUUCAGGUGAUCCUCUGACCUCAGCUUCCUGAGUAGCUGGGACCACAAGUGCAUGCCAUCACGCCUGGCUAAUUUUUUUUUUUUUUUUAGAGACAGGGUUUCACCAUGUUGGCCAGGCUGGUCUCAAAUCCUGAGUUCAGGCGAUCCGCCCACCUCUGCCUCCCAGAGUUCUGAGAUUACAUGCGUGAGCCACUGUGCCAGGCAUUAGGUCCCUUUCAAAUUCAAGUUGAAAAUAUGAUGAUGUCCCGGUGUGGUAGCUCACACCUAUAAUCCCAGCACUUUGGGAGGCCGAGGCAGUUGGAUCACCUGAGGUCAGCUCAGGACCAGCUGGGCCAACAUGGUGAAACCCUGUCUCUAUACUAAAGGUACAAAAAUUAGCUGGGCGUGGUGGUACACACUAGUAAUCCCAGCUACUUGGGAAGCUGAGGCAGGAGAAUCUCUUGAACCUGGGAGGCGGAGGUUGAGAUUGCGCCAUUGCACUCCAGCCUGGGCAAUAAGAGUAAAACUCUGUCUCAAAAAAAAAAAAAAAAAGAAAAGAAAAUAUUAUGCUAAGUGAAAGAAGCCAGAUACAUAAAAAGGUCACAUAUCAUAUGAUUCCAUUUAUAUGAAAUAUCCAGAAUAGGUAAAUCCACAGAGACAGGGUGCAGAUUAGUGGCUAUUGUU